rnacentral:lncRNA from 10 species
GGCCGGGCGCGGUGGCUCACGCCUGUAAUCCCAGCACUUUGGGAGGCCGAGGCGGGCGGAUCACGAGGUCAGGAGAUCGAGACCAUCCCGGCUAAAACGGUGAAACCCCGUCUCUACUAAAAAUACAAAAAAUUAGCCGGGCGUAGUGGCGGGCGCCUGUAGUCCCAGCUACUUGGGAGGCUGAGGCAGGAGAAUGGCGUGAACCCGGGAGGCGGAGCUUGCAGUGAGCCGAGA